rnacentral:rRNA from 1 species
UACGAAGGGGGCUAGCGUUGCUCGGAAUCACUGGGCGUAAAGCGCACGUAGGCGGAUUGCUAAGUCAGGGGUGAAAUCCUGGAGCUCAACUCCAGAACUGCCUUUGAUACUGGCGAUCUCGAGUUCGGGAGAGGUGAGUGGAACUGCGAGUGUAGAGGUGAAAUUCGUAGAUAUCGCAAGAACACCAGUGGCGAAGGCGGCUCACUGGCCCGGUACUGACGCUGAGGUGCGAAAGCGUGGGGGAGCAAACAGG